UCCCCGUUAGUUUAGUGGUAUAACACCCAUCUCACCUUGGUAGACGGGAGACCGGGGUUCGAUUCCCCGACGGGGAC
rnacentral:tRNA from 1 species